rnacentral:lncRNA from 1 species
UUUCCUUUCUGUUUCAGAAUGGACUUCAUCCUUCUCGGAAGUCCUUAGGGCCACUGUCACCUCGGUCUGAUUUAUUUCCCAGUCCCCAUUUGGGGGCAAAGAUCAAAAUCCUCCGGUUGAAGAGGAUUUUCAUAAAACAGCUGAAUCCUGCCUGGGUCAUCAGUGGCAAGAGUCCAAACGUGUGUGCCUGUCUGGGCGCCAAGAGUUAACUUUUGCAAAUGCUGCUGCCUAGGGAACUCCAGGGUUCGCUGGCUGCCACUGAGCCAUAAAGAAAAUAACAAACCCCCAAAGCAAGCAGGAGUGGAAAAGGCCUCUUUGGAGCGGUGAGGCAUAUUAAAGAGCCCUCAUCCAGUGGCUGAUGGAAGCAGAGACUGACAUCCACAGAUAUAUACUGAGCUGAAAUCGGGAAUUUAGUUGAAGAGAGGGAGGAAUGAAGAGAGAAGGGAUCUGUACCAGGUUGGAGAAACCCACAGGAACAAUUGGCCUGAACAGGGAGAGCACAUCGACCCCAGAUGCUGUUGGGGAGGCCAGUACAAGACUGAUCCAGACCCCUGAACAUGGAUGUCAAUAAGGAGGCCUCUGCACUCCAGGGAGCCUCUGGUGGUGGUGGAUUAGUAUUUUUCCCUGGUGCAAUAAGGGACUUUGAGAGCCCAUCCCACCUGAAGGGUUACACUCUGGACCUGGACACAUGGGGAAGGGACCAGGACCAGCACAGGAAGAUUUGGUGGACUUUUGCAGAGCCCCCCAUUGAGGGCCCUACCCUGCCUGGGGAGUGGUGUGUGGAUGGGGUGGGG